UACAGAGGGUGCUAGCGUUGUUCGGAAUCACUGGGCGUAAAGGGCGCGUAGGCGGCCUGCUAAGUCGGAUGUGAAAUCCCUCGGCUCAACCGAGGAACUGCAUCCGAUACUGGCGGGCUUGAAUCCGGGAGAGGGAUGUGGAAUUCCAGGUGUAGCGGUGAAAUGCGUAGAUAUCUGGAGGAACACCGGUGGCGAAGGCGGCAUCCUGGACCGGUAUUGACGCUGAGGCGCGAAAGCUAGGGGAGCAAACGGG
rnacentral:rRNA from 1 species